AAAACUUCUAGGGUUUCCGCCAUGAACAAAACUGUGCGUUUCAUCAUCCCCUGAGCCCAAAUCUCCCAAUUUCCCAUUUCUUUUUCUUCUGAUAUAUUUUUUUGAAAUGCCGAGGCAGAACAGCAAUUUGGCGAUGGACCUGAUGAUCCCCGGAAAAAUCCGGAAGCGUGGGUGUUCGUCGUCGGCGUCUUCGUCGUCGUCGAUCAUCCAGAACUACAGAUUCAAGCGGGCGAUACUCGUUGGGAAGAGGGGCGGAUCCAGCACGCCCGUGCCCACGUGGAAGCUCAUGAGCUCCAGGUCCCCGACGGCCUCCGCAUUGCGCGCCAUGGACUCCCCCAACUACUCCCAGAGCGGCGGCGCCAGGUCCAAGCAGCAGCAGCAUGCAACCCGUGUCGGCGAGGAAACUCGCCGCCACGCUCUGGGAAAUGAACGACAUGUCUCCGAGAGUGAAGGAAGGGUCGGACGAGAGGCGGCUGAGGAAGAUGGAGGCGAGUAAUCGUAAAGCCAGAGAGAGGGAGAGGAUCCCGAGAUCGGCGCACUCCGGUUCUCUGCCGCCCCAUCUCUCCGAUCCAUCUCAUAGUCCCGUUUCCGAGAGGAUGGAUCGGUCUGGAACGGGUAGUUUUCAUAGAAGGGCGUCGCCUAUUUCGCAGAGACGGCUCAGGAUCACAGACCACCAUUCUGGAAUGUUGGAUUCUCAUGGCAAUGGCAGUUUGAUGGAGGUUGAGACUAGAUCUCGAGCCCAGACACCUACUGCUUCUACUGCUGGAGCCAAGACACGUUUGAAGGAUGUCAGUAAUGCUUUGACCACAUCUAAAGAGCUACUGAAAAUUAUCAACCGUGUUUGGGGUAAUGAAGAUCGACCUUCAACAAGCGUGGCCCUUAUCUCAGCCUUGCAUGCUGAGCUGGAGAGGGCUCGUUUACAGGUCAAUCAGCUUAUCCAAGAACAACGCUCAGACCAGAAUGAGAUCAACUACCUCAUGAAGUGUUUUGCUGAAGAAAAGGCAGCUUGGAAAAGCAAGGAGCAUAAAGUUGUUGAGGCUGCCAUUGAGGCCGUUGCUGGAGAACUUGAGGUAGAGAGGAAACUGAGGAGGAGGUUUGAAAGCCUGAACAAGAAACUUGGGAAAGAACUGGCGGAGACAAAAGCCUCUCUUGUUAAUAAGGAAAAAGAACUUGAAAGUGAGAAGAGAACAAGAGAGAUCAUGGAACAAGUAUGUGAUGAAUUGGCCAGGGAUAUGACUGAAGAUAAAGAUGAAGCAGAGGAAAUGAAGAGGGAAUCUGCAAAAGUUCGUGAUGAGGUUGAGAAGGAAAGGGAGAUGAUGCAGUUUGCUGACGUGUUGCGUGAGGAGAGAGCACAAGUGAAACUCUCUGAGGCGGAACAUCAUCUUGAAGAGAAGAAUGCAGCUGUUGAUAUGUUGAGGAGUCAACUUGAAGCCUUCAUGGGAAGUAAGACAACCAAAGAAAAAGGACGCAGUUCUACUCAUCUGAAUGACGAAGAAAUUUCUGCGUAUCUAAGUAGAGCUCAUCUUGGUUCCCGUCAGGAUGAAGAAAAAGAUGAGGAUGAAGGAGAAGUUGAAGACGGAGUAGAAUGCGAAGAGGAUUCUGCUGAAAGUGAUCUUCAUUCCAUAGAGUUAAGUAUGGGCAACAACAGCAAAAGCUACAACUUGAAUCGCAAUUCUGCAGCCACUCGUGAUCCAAGGUGGGCAGCACCUGAUGUCGAAGAAAUCAAAGGGAGGAAGUCUACUUCUGGGAAGCCACCAAGAAGAAGCACUUCUUUGCAAAGAAGCAUAUCAGAUGGAGUGGAAUGGGGCAUGCAAACUGAAAGGCUCCAAAAUUCAGGAGACGGGAUAGAUUGGGAGAGGUUUCCUGAACUGGAGAGGCAAAGGCAACGGCAAGGAAAAGGAUGUGCAGAGGAAAUGCAAGGAUAUAAAUCAUCAAAGGGUCUUAGGGACCAAAUGUUGUCUGGUUCAAGGCUUGGACCUGGUAGAGUUCACGCUAGUCCUACGCGGCAAUGGGGGCAGCCGUGGCCAUCACGGGAUCCUACCAAUACAUUCCAAGAUAGGCCUCCCAGCGCGCAAGGAAGUGGUUCAAAGUCAAACUUGGCGGAAGUGAGAGGUGAAGGCCAGAAUGGCAGAAGGUAUAAACGGUGAAAAUUUCUCUUUUUUGCCAAUGCCUUUGAAUAAUGAAAUACAGGGUAGCGGUGUAAAAGGCCAUGCUUGAGGAAAGCGAUUUCAAUGAUGAGAAGAAGCGUUUUGGCCCAUCGAUGCUUUUUGCUUGUUAUCACCAGGAGCUGCUAAGUUGCAGUAAUUGCUGCUCAUUUUGCGCUGCACCAACGCCAUUCUCGCUUUGGUUUUGUAGAUUUUUCGAAGAAAGCUGUGACAAUCUAGUGAGCUUGCUCUGUACAAAAGCUUCUAGCAUUUAUGUCUCAAUUAUAUAGAAACAUUAUAUAUUUGCUUCUGUUUUUUUUGCCCUUUCUAAUUCUCUUUCCUUUAUGCUAAUCGUAAUCUGUCUUUACCUUA